rnacentral:rRNA from 1 species
AGCGAACGCUGGCGGCAGGCCUAACACAUGCAAGUCGAACGAACCUUUCGGGGUUAGUGGCGGACGGGUGAGUAACACGUGGGAACGUGCCUUUAGGUUCGGAAUAACUCAGGGAAACUUGUGCUAAUACCGAAUGUGCCCUUCGGGGGAAAGAUUUAUCGCCUUUAGAGCGGCCCGCGUCUGAUUAGCUAGUUGGUUGAGGUAAUGGCUCACCAAGGCGACGAUCAGUAGCUGGUCUGAGAGGAUGAUCAGCCACAUUGGGACUGAGACACGGCCCAAACUCCUACGGGAGGCAGCAGUGGGGAAUCUUGCGCAAUGGGCGAGAGCCUGACGCAGCCAGGCCGCGUGAAUGAUGAAGGUCUUAGGAUUGUAAAAUUCUUUCACCGGGGACGAUAAUGACGGUACCCGGAGAAGAAGCCCCGGCUAACUUCGUG